UGCCCCAUGGCUGAGUUGGUUACAGCGUCCGACUGUUAUUUCCUUGACAAUAGACAUCGGAAGGUCGUGAGUUCGAGCCUCACUGGGGCAG